UGGGGAAUAUUGCACAAUGGGCGCAAGCCUGAUGCAGCCAUGCCGCGUGUAUGAAGAAGGCCUUCGGGUUGUAAAGUACUUUCAGCGGGGAGGAAGGCGAUAAGGUUAAUAACCUUGUCGAUUGACGUUACCCCAGAAGAAGCACCGGCUAACUCCGUGCCAGCAGCCGCGGUAAUACGGAGGGUGCAAGCGUUAAUCGGAAUUACUGGGCGUAAAGCGCACGCAGGCGGUCUGUCAAGUCGGAUGUGAAAUCCCCGGGCUCAACCUGGGAACUGCAUUCGAAACUGGCAGGCUAGAGUCUUGUAGAGGGGGGUAGAAUUCCAGGUGUAGCGGUGAAAUGCGUAGAGAUCUGGAGGAAUACCGGUGGCGAAGGCGGCCCCCUGGGCAAAGACUGACGCUCAGGUGCGAAAGCGUGGGGAGCAAACA
rnacentral:rRNA from 1 species